CCUACGGGAGGCUGCAGUGAGGAAUAUUGGUCAAUGGGCGCGAGCCUGAACCAGCCAAGUAGCGUGAAGGAUGACUGCCCUACGGGUUGUAAACUUCUUUUAUAAAGGAAUAAAGUGAGGCACGCGUGCCUUUUUGUAUGUACUUUAUGAAUAAGGAUCGGCUAACUCCGUGCCAGCAGCCGCGGUAAUACGGAGGAUCCGAGCGUUAUCCGGAUUUAUUGGGUUUAAAGGGAGCGUAGAUGGGUUGUUAAGUCAGUUGUGAAAGUUUGCGGCUCAACCGUAAAAUUGCAAUUGAUACUGGCAGCCUUGAGUACAUUUGAGGUAGGCGGAAUGCGUGGUGUAGCGGUGAAAUGCUUAGAUAUCACGAAGAACGCCGAUUGCGAAGGCAGCCUACUAAGCUGCCACUGACAUUGAUGCUCGAAAAUGUGGGUAUCAAACAGGAUUAGAUACCCGAGUAGUC
rnacentral:rRNA from 1 species